rnacentral:rRNA from 1 species
GAGUGAACUGGGAAAUGCCCAGCGCUGAAUCUUUCGAUGUUAUAUCGUAAAGAAAUGUAGCGUAUAGGUGUGGUUGUCGGUUUGUUUAACAUGUCCAAAGUUCCUUUGAUAGGGGCCAUAUUCCGGAGAGGGUGCGAGACCUGUGCGGACAGUUGAACAUACCGUAUGAUUAUACCGUGGAGUCGGGUUGCUUGAAAGUGCAGCCUUAAGUGGGUGAUAAACUUCAUCUAAGGCUAAAUAUGGACGCGAAUUCGAUAGCGAACAAGUACUGUGAAGGAAAGUUGCAAAGAACUUUGAAGAGAGAGUUCAAGAGAACGUGAAAUCGCUAAAGUGGAACCGGAGAGAGUUGACGUAGUGUGGUGGAUAAGUAUUGCAAGAAUCGCAUUCAUUAAUAUGAAUAUGAUCGAGUAAUAUGUAUGCCAUUAGUGACUGUGCUGACAGCAUCGAAUGCACGUUCUGAAUUGUGUUAACGCGUUGCCCAUUCCAGUAUACUAGGAUGGUGUCUUGUGUUACGUGAUGACGUUUGUUGUACGUUGAUGUUGAUGAGUAUCGUAAUUAUGUUCUGUAAUAAUGUCAGCGUAAAAGUCAACCACCUCUCCGACCCGUCUUGAAACACGGACCGAGGAGUGUAACUUGUACGCGAGUCAAUAGGUGAAAAACCUUGAGGCGAAAUGAAAGUGAAGGCACGGUUAACCGGCUGACAUGGGAAACGUCUGCGAUGAAUUUCUAUUUCAUUGACGAUACGUCACACCAUGGCCCUGUCUUGUCUGCGUGCAGAUGGGCAGCGGUAGAGCGUACAGGUUGCGACCCGAAAGAUGGUGAACUAUGCCUGAGCAGGACGAAGUCAGAGGAAACUCUGGUGGAAGUCCGUAUCGGUUCUGACGUGCAAAUCGAUCGAUAGACUUGGGUAUAG